rnacentral:rRNA from 1 species
UACGUAGGCAGCAAGCGUUGUUCGGAAUUACUGGGCGUAAAGAGUGUGUAGGCGGUGCUCUAAGUUCGGUGUGAAAUCUCCCGGCUUAACUGGGAGGGUGCGCCGGAAACUGGAGUGCUUGAGCGUGGGAGAGGAAAGCGGAAUUCCUGGUGUAGCGGUGAAAUGCGUAGAUAUCAGGAGGAACACCGGUGGUGUAGACGGCUUUCUGGACCAUAGCUGACGCUGAGACACGAAAAGCGUGGGUAGCAAACAGG